rnacentral:rRNA from 1 species
UACAGAGGGGGCAAGCGUUAUUCGGAAUUAUUGGGCGUAAAGGGCGCGUAGGCGGCCUUGCAAGUGACGGGUGAAAUCCCCGGGCUUAACCUGGGAACUGCAUUUGGGACUGCAAGGCUUGAGUGCGGCAGAGGAGACUGGAAUUCCUGGUGUAGCAGUGAAAUGCGUAGAUAUCAGGAGGAAUACCGAUGGCGAAGGCAGGUCUCUGGGCUGACACUGACGCUCAUGCACGAAAGCGUGGGGAGCAAACAGG